ACAGAUUACUUCGGUUUGAAGUCUUUUAUGAGUGAGUGGCGGACGGGUGAGUAACGCGUGGGUAACCUGCCUCAUACAGGGGGAUAGCAGCUGGAAACGGCUGGUAAUACCGCAUAAGCGCACGGUAUCGCAUGAUACAGUGCGAAAAACUCCGGUGGUAUGAGAUGGACCCGCGUCUGAUUAGCUGGUUGGUGAGGUAACGGCCCACCAAGGCGACGAUCAGUAGCCGACCUGAGAGGGUGACCGGCCACAUUGGGACUGAGACACGGCCCAGACUCCUACGGGAGGCAGCAGUGGGGAAUAUUGCACAAUGGAGGAAACUCUGAUGCAGCGACGCCGCGUGAGUGAAGAAGUAGUUCGCUAUGUAAAGCUCUAUCAGCAGGGAAGAUAGUGACGGUACCUGACUAAGAAGCUCCGGCUAAAUACGUGCCAGCAGCCGCGGUAAUACGUAUGGAGCAAGCGUUAUCCGGAUUUACUGGGUGUAAAGGGAGUGUAGGUGGCCAGGCAAGUCAGAAGUGAAAGCCCGGGGCUCAACCCCGGGACUGCUUUUGAAACUGCAGGGCUAGAGUGCAGGAGGGGCAAGUGGAAUUCCUAGUGUAGCGGUGAAAUGCGUAGAUAUUAGGAGGAACACCAGUGGCGAAGGCGGCUUGCUGGACU
rnacentral:rRNA from 1 species